AUGGAACAAUGUAGGCAAGGGAAGUCGGCAAAACGGAUCCGUAACUUCGGGAAAAGGAUUGGCUCUAAGGACUGGGCUCGGGGGUCCUGGCCCCGAACCCGUCGGCUGUCGGCGGAUUGCUUGAGCUGCUCACGCGGCGAGAGCGGGUUGCCGCGUGCUGGUCGGGGGACGGACCGGGAACCCCUUCGGGGGCUUUCCCCGAGCAUGAAAUAGUCGACUCGGAACUGGUACGGACAAGGGGAAUCCGACUGUUUAAUUAAAAGAAAGCAUUGCGAUGGUCCUCGCGGAUGCUAA
rnacentral:rRNA from 1 species